AUAGACGGAAAGAUGGGCGGUUGGUGUCCUCCAGGAAGUUACUGUCCACCAGCUUCCACCUCGCCUCUUCCAUGCCCCCCUGGAACGUUCAGUAACAGCUCCGGUCUGGGUAGACUUCAAGAUUGUGUCAGCUGUCCACCAGGGUAACAUCAUGUUACGGCAAAAAAAAAAUGGUUUUAACACCUUGAGCCUCCCAUGACAUUUUGUUUCCCUUCCUCUAAGUUUUUAUUGUUUAGGUUCCAACAACAGCUCCCCUUCAGGCCUUUGCUCUCCUGGAUAUUACUGCACUGGCGGAUCAGCUUCUCCCAUCCAGCAUGAAGCAGAGCAGGGUCACUAUACAUUGGAAGGAGCAGUCAAACCAGAGCCGUGUCCUUUUGGAACUUUCCAGCCACGCCGAGGUGCACAGUCGUGCGUGCACUGUCAAGGAGGACGACUGUGCAACCAGACCGGUUUGUCCCAGCCACCACUGUGCCCAAAAGGAUACUACUGUCCUCCAGCAUCAUCAUCUCCUCACCCCUGUCCUAUUGGUCGGUAUUUAGAUGAGCCCGGUGGUGAAGAUGUGCAGCAUUGUCGUCCUUGUGAGGCAGGAUGGUUUUGCAGUAAAGCUGGCCUCGCUGACCCCGAGGGCCCCUGUGACCCCGGGCAUUAUUGUACCUCGGCAGCUUCUACAGCUUCUCCAGUAAGACAAGCAAUCUGGUAUGACAUCAUUAAUAUUUAAAUUUCCAAUGACUCGAUCGUUUAUUCCCUCGGGUUGCUUUGGAGUCUGGAGGAGUGUGUCCCGCAGGCUACGUUUGUCCCAGAGGGACCAAAUACCCACAGCAACACCCCUGUCCAGUUGGAACUUGGAGUAAUAGUUUGGGGGUCCAUAAUCUGUCAGACUGCCUGCCCUGCCCACCUGGACUAUACUGUAACACAACUGGAAUAAUACAACCUUCAGGGACAUGUGAUCCAGGUGAUGUACAAAUUUGUCAAUACA